rnacentral:misc_RNA from 1 species
AAGUCGUAACAAGGUUUCCGUAGGUGAACCUGCGGAAGGAUCAUUAACACGUAUCCAAACGUUAAAACCCCCCGUCAUUGAUUGUGCAAGGAUAGCGCUUCUACGAUUCCUGUAGACCGUACACUCGGGCAGGAGCUUUGCCAAAGGGUCGCCAUGCCCCCUAAUAACCCCACAGUUUAAUGUGACGCUCAAUGUAAUACAUUGGGUAAAAAAACCAACUGUUAACAAUGGAUAUCUUGGUUCUC